UUGUAAACCUCUUUUAGUAGGGAAGAAGCGACUGGGUUUUCCUGGGAGUGACGGUACCUGCAGAAAAAGCACCGGCUAACUACGUGCCAGCAGCCGCGGUAAUACGUAGGGUGCAAGCGUUGUCCGGAAUUAUUGGGCGUAAAGAGUCGUAGGCGGUUUGUCGCGUCUGCUGUGAAAACCCGAGGCUCAACCUCGGGCCUGCAGUGGGUACGGGCAGACUAGAGUGCGGUAGGGGAGAUUGGAAUUCCUGGUGUAGCGGUGGAAUGCGCAGAUAUCAGGAGGAACACCAAUGGCGAAGGCAGAUCUCUGGGCCGUAACUGACGCUGAGGAGCGAAAGCAUGGGGAGCGAACAGGAUUAGAUACCCUGGUAGUCCAUGCCGUAAACGUUGGGAACUAGAUGUGGGGACCAUUCCACGGUCUCCGUGUCGCAGCUAACGCAUUAAGUUCCCCGCCUGGGGAGUACGGCCGCAAGGCUAAAACUCAAAGGAAUUGACGGGGGCCCGCACAAGCGGCGGAGCAUGCGGAUUAAUUCGAUGCAACGCGAAGAACCUUACCAAGGCUUGACAUAUACCGGAAACGGCUGGAAACAGUCGCCCCGCAAGGUCGGUAUACAGGUGGUGCAUGGUUGUCGUCAGCUCGUGUCGUGAGAUGUUGGGUUAAGUCCCGCAACGAGCGCAACCCUCGUCCUAUGUUGCCAGCACGUAAUGGUGGGAACUCAUGGGAUACUGCCGGGGUCAACUCGGAGGAAGGUGGGGAUGACGUCAAAUUAUCAUGCCCCUUAUGUCUUGGGCUUCACGCAUGCUACGAUGGCCGGUACAAAGGGCUGCGAUACCGCAAGGUGGAGCGAAUCCCAAAAAGCCGGUCUCAGUUCGGAUUGAGGUCUGCAACUCGACCUCAUGAAGUCGGAGUCGCUAGUAAUCGCAGAUCAGCAACGCUGCGGUGAAUACGUUCCCGGGCCUUGUACACACCGCC
rnacentral:rRNA from 1 species